UCGUCUGCUUUCUCAUUUCCACAGAUUCCUACGUGGCUCGGCACCCAACAAAAUUUGAUGUUUUGUCCCCGCCUCAUGGCUCCUGUUAUGUUGUGUAGGAUGUCACCGAUUAUUGGCAGAACUGCAUUCCUAGGCUGAAGGGCUUGUCCAGUCAGCUGCUUGGAGCUUCCAUCGUCGUGGUUUGUUUGGAAUGAUUGCAGUAUCCAAGGAGUUCUGCCGUCCCUGUGACGUUGACGGCACGGAACCACCCUGGCUCGUCUCCAUCACCUCAUCAGAGGCGCUGGAGGGUCGUGCAGACUGCACGUCGGCACUUUUUUCAGACCUCCCCUCGUGGGCAGAGGCCUUGAGGCUUGCCAACUC
rnacentral:lncRNA from 1 species